rnacentral:lncRNA from 1 species
GAUUUAAGAGUUGCAAGUUAUGUGUUUGAUAUAAUGCCCAACUGAACUUUGAAAUGUUUUAGCUGAUCUAAUGCCUAAGUUUAUUUAAUGUCUUUGAAAAGAAAAUUACACAUGGUUAGCUCAAUCAAAAAAAUUUAUUCUCAAGCUUUCAUAUGAUUGACUUUCAUUUACAAUGCAUUAUUGCAUGCUUGCUGAUUAAGGGAAAAGAUUGCAGACCUGGGUCUCGAGGACUCAACCCUUCUAUCUUAUAUGGUUGAAGUGGCGAGAUUACCAUGUUUUAAGUGAGAAGAUGGUGAAAUUCAAUAUGCCUUUUAUAUUAUUCAUUUUACUGUGUGUUUGUAGUUAUUGAGCCUGGAAAAUCAUCUUGGAUUGCGCUAUGAGUGCCCAAGCAAUUCUAAGAUACAGGUGUGUCCAGAAUAAUUUGAUGGUCGUUAUUAUUUAUUAUAUUCUAGUUUUACAGUCUGAAAAUUAACAUUUGAUUACUUAAAAGUAAUUGUGUUGCCCCUUGUGAUUUUGAUUAAUAUAUAUUUAAUGGUUGUUAGUCGUUAUUUCACAACUAAGUUUGUAUUGAAUAUUUGCACGAAAUUAGCGCCUUACCUCCAAUUUAUGGUUCUUUUUGUAGGAAUUAUACAUAUUUUCAUAUUUAGUGUGAUUUUAUAUAGUAGAUACUCUCAUUUUGUGAAUUAAUGUUGAAAUCACUUCAGUUUCAGACUAAAAGAAGAGAAGGUUCAAGUAGCUGAUGUCUUGCUAAGCGAGCCAGAUACGCUUAGCAAGUGAAAUCCGCUAAGCGAGGCAUACAGCUCGCUUAGCAGGUUGGGAAACCCUAGAAAAGGAUCAUUAAAGAUGUGCUAGCCGAGCGUGCCGCCAGCUCGC